GACGAACGCUGGCGGCGUGCUUAACACAUGCAAGUCGAACGAAGUGGCGAACGGGUGAGUAAUACGUGAGUAACCUGCCCUCCUUUUGGGAUAAGCCUUGGAAACGGGGUCUAAUACCGGAUAAAGGGGGAUGGGCUCGCGGCCUAGCAGCUUGUUGGUGGGGUGAUGGCCUACCAAGGCGGUGACGGGUAGCCGGCCUGAGAGGGUGACCGGCCACAUGGGGACGGCGAUACGGCCCAGACUAUUCAGGGAGGCAGAAGUGGGGGAUAUUGAAUAAUGGGUGAAAGACUGAUGCAGCGACGCAGCGUGGGGGAUGAAGGCUUUCGGGUUGUAAACCUCUUUCGCUACAGAACGGGUAGGUGGAGAAGAAGCGCCGGCUAACUACGUGCCAGCAGCCGCGGUAAUAC
rnacentral:rRNA from 1 species